rnacentral:rRNA from 1 species
UACGAAGGGGGCUAGCGUUGUUCGGAAUCACUGGGCGUAAAGGGCGCGUAGGCGGCUUUAUAAGUCGGGGGUGAAAGCCUGUGGCUCAACCACAGAAUUGCCUUCGAUACUGUAGAGCUUGAGACCGGAAGAGGUAAGUGGAACUGCGAGUGUAGAGGUGAAAUUCGUAGAUAUUCGCAAGAACACCAGUGGCGAAGGCGGCUUACUGGUCCGGUUCUGACGCUGAGGCGCGAAAGCAUGGGGAGCGAACAGG